UCCGGCGUAGCGCAACGGUAGCGCAGGGGACUGUUAAUCCCUUGGUUGGAGGUUCGAAUCCUCCCGCCGGAG
rfam:Chloroflexi bacterium 13_1_40CM_4_68_4 13_1_40cm_4_scaffold_2950, whole genome shotgun sequence.